CCCAGGACUUGGUGUUUCACGGGUUCAUGUUGUUUACUACCAGUCUCCAGUCCUGCUGUCUGAGUCUCCAAAAUCACGAUCACUUGUGCACCAAUAUUCAGCAAAGAUGGUCCAAGACUGCAGGCAUCUUCUAGAACCAUAUGCCCAUCACACCCAGCCCUUCUCUCCUGAGCUGAUCUUUAGUGUCUGCGGUAGAGUGGGCUGAUCCUGCAACCACUGCUCCAACACGGUACAGUGACUGCACCAUAUAAUCCAGUGCUGCCAAUCAGAUCUGAACAAAAGAAAUAGCAGUUGUCUGACUGUGAAUCAUUUCUU